GCCUCAGCCUCCCAAGUAGCUGGGACCACAGGACACGAGCAAGACGGUGAUGAGCAGAACACAAACGCGGCCCUCCAGCAGCUCUUGGAGUGUGGCAGAGACAGCCGUGGAAACAGACCUGGCAGAGGAGGUGCUGCUACAAGUUCAACGGUCUUUGAGGAGCCAAGAUCAGAUUGGCCUGGAUGUCGAUGCCUGGUUGGCAGAAGAAACACUGGGUAGGAGUCUGAAGCCUUGGGUUUCCAUUCCAGUUUGGGAAAGUUUCCUUUGGAGAUGACAUUGACUGAACUGUCAGUAGUGGAACAGGAGUAGAAGACACAUGGAAGGCGCACUAGCCCGCCGUGGGAGUCGGGAGCAGAGGACGCGUGGGCUGCGCACUAGCCCUCCGUGGGAGUCGGGAGCAGAGGACGCGUGGGCUGCGCACUAGCCCUCCGUGGGAGUCGGGAGCAGAGGACGCGUGGGGUGCGCACUAACCCUCCGUGGGAGUCGGGAGCAGAGGACGCGUGGGGUGCGCACUAACCCUCCGUGGGAGUCGGGAGCAGAGGACGCGUGGGGUGCGCACUAGCCCUCCGUGGGAGUCGGGAGCAGAGGACGCUUGGGGUGCGCACUAUCCCUCCGUGGGAGUCGGGAGCAGAGGACGCGUGGGGUGCGUACUAGCCCUCCAUGGCAGUAUUUCCCAAAUGGUGCCCCUUUGGGAUCUUUGUUCCUCCAGAUGUGCUGAAAGAAAACGAGGUUUAUGGUU